AAUGUCACUACAAACUGAACAAUGGAGACUACUGAAAUUCAGCUGACUGAUGGCACCACUAUCAUGAAUUUCAGUGUUUCAUCUGCUAUAAAGGAAAGGAUCCAAUCUGAUCCUGGCUAUGCUAACUGGUUGUUUGCUGAGGCAUUGAAGGGCAUUACAACUGGACAAGUAAAAGAGGGUGGGGAGACUGCAUUAGCCACAAAAUCUCAGAGCAUGUCUCCAGUUUUGGAAGGAAAUGAUGACUCUGAAUGCAGUUCCCAGUCAAUCAAUAGUCAGGCUCCAAUAUUUCAAGAUUUUGACAGUAAGACUACCUUCUUAUUGAUCAACAUUACAAGACUCCACUGUUCAAUACAAACAAAGGACAUUUCUUUCAAACACUCUACAAAAAGUUCCUUGGUCACGGAUAUAAUUUCCCUCCUGAGAGGAUCCGAAAAAAAUCCUUCUUGUCACCUACAAGAGAGCCAAGGACCGGAGCAGAGAGACUGGCCAAGGCAGAAUUACCUGGGAGUACUUUGAGGCUAUUGACAGUCUACUCUCCAAAACUGUGGGAGCACCACCACCAACUGGCUCCAUUUCAUGCACACCCCUAUUUCCCGCAGCUGCACAUUCAUCCCCAACAGUAACACCUCACAUAUCGCCUCUCCCAGCACUCUGCACAGACUCUACUCCCAUUCUGUCCCAAACUCAAACACUUGACACUCCAUGCCUCACCAGCCCUCCACCCAGUGUCACUCCAUCCACUUCUAAAUCACAAGCACAUGCACAUAAACGUAGAGAGACUCAAUCCACUGAUGCUUCACACUCAUUCCUACAAAAGUAUGAGAAUCAUGCUGAAAGAUGUACAGCUGUUAGAGUCACUGCUAGAGAGGAAAAGCAGGAAAAGAGGAGAAAAAGGUUGUGGGACAAAAGAAAGGAACAGAGACACUGAAAUGUUGGCCUGUUUAAAACAGAUGUCUUCCGCAUUGCAGAGCAUCUCUGCCAAACCGGACCACAUAAUUGUACUGCUUGAGAAACGAUCGUGAAUUUCAUUGUUUUUAAAUAAACACUUUGAAUUGUAA